rnacentral:lncRNA from 1 species
UGGGGUGUACAGACUCCAGAGGGGCUCCUUCAGCCCAAGAGCUAUACUAAUCCAAUCAUGGCAUAAAUCAUAAUAACAUUCUGCGGCGUGCAGCCCGCUCCCUUAAAUAUCACUCACAAACAAACCCUCAGCCUCACUCAAUCAUCAAUCUCUCUAGUCUCUCAGGCUCACAAUGUCAUAAAAAUCAGCUUAAAAAUGAUGAUGUGAUGUAUCGAUAAAUGGUGACCGAGACUGGGAUAUGGUAUGUAGAUGAAUGCGUAUGACUGAGUAUGUAAUUUCAAUAUAAACAGAUAACUCAACAACAGAAAUGACUCCAGUGGGUCCCAAUAGGAUAAGCAUAUAGCCUAGACAUGAUUUCUAACGUCACUAUAAGAAAAAAGACCAUUAACGAAGAGAAAUCUGGUCCUUAAAAGUAUGUUUCUGGUCUUUAAAUGUCAAUAGCGACCGGAGAAAUCUGGCCGCGACCCGUCGUUAUUUCCUCCACCGCUAAAGGUCAAUAAGGACAAGGUUCAUCCACUGGUCCCUACAUGUUUUAAUGGCCGGCGACCUUCUGCUCUCUAGAAACACAUUCUAGAGACCAUAUUUCUGGUCCGUAAACAGCUUAAACACAAGGUAUCAGUUGGUCCCUAAAUGUCAAUAGGGACCAAAAUUAUGGUCCUAAAAGUGAUAUACAUAACACAAUAAAUAUAUGAUUGUUUUGGUCAUCUUAUAUUAAAUAUUAUAAAAUUUAUAAUACAGAAAAUCAAUCGAAUAUUAACAAAAUUCAGUAAAUAUCAGAAUUUCAUACAUAUAAUUAAUUACAAGUAUUGUAUUAAUAUCUCAUUAGUAUCAUUGUACAAACAUGGUAUCAGUCACUAUAUUGCUUACGCAACCCCUUGAGAAAAAAAAGAAAAAUUAACAUCCGUAGUAAAAAAAAAAAAUAAAGCGUUGCUUAGCAAAAACUAAAUCCUUCGAAAAUAAGGUAACCUUUUGCCUAACAGUCCUACCAAAAUGACAAUCAACUUGUUAACUUGUAUGAAGUCUUCAACCAAGCAUCUUCACUUGUAUGUGAGUCUUCAAAAGCUGUAAAAAUUAAUAAAAAAUAUCCAAUAAGGAAAACUUCAAAGAUCAACUAUAAAAGUUAAUUAAAUAAUGAGGGGAUCAUUGUUGCUACACUGAACAGCAUGUUCUGAAGCCAACAACAAUAUAGCAAAGCUUAGUUAAUAAGAAACUAGAAAAGUAAAAGAAGAAAAGUAAAUAACCAUGCUCAAAAAAGAAGAAACUAGUAGAAAAAGUGAGGAAAUGAGAUUUAGUUCAGCAAUGACAACGAGGCAAUGAAUCUCAAAAAAUUCAAAUGAUCUCAAGAGCGGGCAUCUUGUGGAAAACAAAUUGCUGUGUCCCUCACAAAUCUUUGCUUUUUAUACUCCUAAUGUAAGAAGCUAUACGUAAUGAAUAGAAACAGAGAAAAACAAAUGCCAGCAGCCCAUUGAAGUCGCCAUUUUCCUUCUCUUAAAAACGUAAAUAUAACCAUAAACAAUAUAAUUUUACACCUGAAUCAAGAAAACAACUGCAAAGCCAUGAGAAAGAACCUGUUAUGGAGUGUGGAGGACCACCAGAUUUUCCUGAAAAAUCUAAUCCUCCAUCUUGUUUUCGUAAAUUCAUAAUUUUUGUAAUAGCUAAAUCUAGUUUUGAAUAGGACAUCAAUCUCAUUACGCCGCAGUCACCAUUCAAAUCACUGAACCAACAAAAUGCAAAAACUGCUAAGGUUCUCAAUCCUCUGCCACACAAAGAUAUGUAUCAUUUUUAUUUUCUUUUUGAGGAUGAAUUAAGUACAUGAAUAUCUUUUGAGAGAGAUUCAUUCUGCCUAGCCAAGCCAUAGCUAGAAGGAGCCACAAGCAGAUGAACUAAUUUCAUAAAGCAGCCUUGUAUCACUCAAACAAACAUAGAGUUUUGAAAGGGUUACCGGAUACAGUUUACCUCCUAAACGCUUUGAAUCUUAACUCAUUAUAAGUUCACAAAAAAGGUGGAACCCAAACAUUAAAAAAAACUUCUAAAGACCACAGCUGAAGAACCAGAUCUGGAAAAGUAAGGAAAACCCUAGCUUCUAUUCGUCGACCCAAUAUUGGAAGCAAACGAUGACAAUUAAACUAAAAACCUAUUUCGAAUCAAAUUGAAAAUACUUUAAAGAGAUCCUAAGCCACAAAAUGGAGAAUUUCACAAAAUAACUAAGAACCACUUGAAGCUUCAGUGCAAAAUAAACAAAAAAAGAAAAAUAAGUAGAUUGAAAGAUGAUAAAGAACAAAACCUGAGAUUUAAGGUUGAGAGAAAAUUUCAUAGGGAAAUAGUCAUUCUUUUGGAGUUGAAUUUGAGAGAUUGAGGAGUCACGAGGGUUUUGACCCUUUAGGGAUUUCAAAGAGACGAGAGGAGUUUCCGUCAAAGUGUUUUCACGAUUUUUUCAUUUUUCUAGAUGCAUAAUUAAGUGACUUUUUUUUCUCGAAUAAAGUAUAGGGACCAGAAUUUUAUAUUUUUAUGGACCAAAAUUGUUUUCGUCGUUAAAUA